AUUGAACGCUGGCGGCAUGCCUUACACAUGCAAGUCGAACGGCAGCACGGGGCAACCUGGUGGCGAGUGGCGAACGGGUGAGUAAUGCAUCGGAACGUACCUUUCAGUGGGGGAUAACGUAGCGAAAGUUACGCUAAUACCGCAUAUUCUGUGAGCAGGAAAGCAGGGGAUCGCAAGACCUUGCGCUGAUUGAGCGGCCGAUGUCAGAUUAGCUAGUUGGUGAGGUAAAGGCUCACCAAGGCAACGAUCUGUAGCGGGUCUGAGAGGAUGAUCCGCCACACUGGAACUGAGACACGGUCCAGACUCCUACGGGAGGCAGCAGUGGGGAAUUUUGGACAAUGGGGGCAACCCUGAUCCAGCCAUGCCGCGUGAGUGAAGAAGGCCUUCGGGUUGUAAAGCUCUUUCGGCCGGGAAGAAAUCGCACGGGCUAAUACCCUGUGUGGAUGACGGUACCUUGUAAAGAAGCUCCGGCUAAGUCCGUGCCAGCCGCCGCCGUAAAAC
rnacentral:rRNA from 1 species